rnacentral:rRNA from 2 species
UACGGAGGGAGCUAGCGUUGUUCGGAAUUACUGGGCGUAAAGCGCACGUAGGCGGCUUUGUAAGUUAGAGGUGAAAGCCCGGAGCUCAACUCCGGAAUUGCCUUUAAGACUGCAUCGCUUGAAUCCAGGAGAGGUGAGUGGAAUUCCGAGUGUAGAGGUGAAAUUCGUAGAUAUUCGGAAGAACACCAGUGGCGAAGGCGGCUCACUGGACUGGUAUUGACGCUGAGGUGCGAAAGCGUGGGGAGCAAACAGG